AUUAAUUUGAGGAGGCCACCGGAGAGUGUACUAGCAAAGGCCUGCAGGUUCGAUUACUGCGUUGUAUCGAGGAGGAACAAUCAGCUUUCAGUUUUCACAGGCGGAGAGCCCCCGUCAAAAGGAAUCGCCGACUCCUCCGUCGGGAACGAAGCGUCAACCCCCCUCGGCCAAGUCCAAACGAGAGCGCGCGAAGUGGGCCCGUUUCGGAUGCAACUCCGGCGGCCGGCAAAACCCGGGUCAGAAAAUCGCAUCCGAUGAAAGUCCGGCGUGGAAAUGAAGCGGAUGUCACGUAAAGCCAUAUUUCACGAAUGUUCUCGGUCAUUCAAAUGCAUCUUUUAAAGAGACAUGAGGCUGACCUGACUCGAAAAAAAAAAGGACUUUAAAUGAUAUAGACAGAAUACUUGUAAGGCCAGGUCUCACUAAUAUAUUGAAAUAUUAAUGUGUACCUCCAUCAAGGCGUGAGUGAGGGAUAUUCUAAUAGACAGUUAAUUAUUCAUACCCAUAAAUAAAACCUGGGUACCUAGAUUACGGCUAAAACUCCCCACAAUGAGCGGUUUAUGAGGACAGGUCAUAAAAAUAUGUAUGGGAAAGCUUUUCUGUGGACCCGUCAUACCUGCACUCUGAAGACAGAGAGAGAGAGAGGAGUUAUCGUUAUGGAUUCAC